rnacentral:rRNA from 1 species
AUGGGGGGCCGUCCUUCCGAGGAGCGCAUACAAUGUGAAGCUACCUAUCGUUGCUUCGGCGGACUCGCCCCAGCCCGGACGCGGACUGGACCAGCGGCCCGCCGGGGACCUCAAACUCUUGUAUUCCAGCAUCUUCUGAAUACGCCGCAAGGCAAAACAAAUGAAUCAAAACUUUCAACAACGGAUCUCUUGGCUCUGGCAUCGAUGAAGAACGCAGCGAAACGCGAUAAGUAAUGUGAAUUGCAGAAUCCAGUGAAUCAUCGAAUCUUUGAACGCACAUUGCGCCCGCCAGCAUUCUGGCGGGCAUGCCUGUUCGAGCGUCAUUUCAACCCUCGACCUCCCCUUGGGGGGGUCGGCGUUGGGGACCGGCAGCACACCGCCGGCCCUGAAAUGGAGUGGCGGCCCGUCCGCGGCGACCUCUGCGCAGUAAUACAGCUCGCACCGGAACCCCGACGCGGCCACGCCGUAAAACACCCAACUUCUGAACGUUGACCUCGAAUCAGGUAGGACUACCCGCUGAACUUAAGCAUAUCAAUAAGCGGACGUACCCUCGCGAAAUUGAUAUGUCCCUCCCCCGAGCCGACGAUGUUUUGGUCCUUUCUAUAAUUCCCGUCCGCAUUCCAGGCGACACAGGCCCUCUCUGACACCACAUGUUUUUUCUAAAUGCGGAGUGGCGCAGGAAAGGAAAUGAAAAAAAAUUUCAAUGCUGCUUGUGAUCUGUGCUUAAAAAAAAUCCCCUGAAAGAAUAAAAAUAAGGCGUGGGUGUCUAAUUCGAUGGACUCCGGAAAUCAACGAACACCAUUAGCGCCCCACCCCGGGAGGAAAUUCUUCAUUGGUUCAUUCUCUCUUGCCUGGCUUUCUUGGAAGAACUAAAGACGGCACACCCUUACCUGAUGAUGGCCUCAUCCUUCCGCUUGAUCGGAAACCCAUCUAAAACACCAGGUUCCGUCUUAGAUAUACCAUAAUCUUU